CCUACGGGAGGCAGCAGUGGGGAAUAUUGCACAAUGGGGGGAACCCUGAUGCAGCGACGCCGCGUGAGUGAAGAAGUAUUUCGGUAUGUAAAGCUCUGUCAGCAGGGAAGAAGAAAGACGGUACCUGACCAAGAAGCCCCGGCUAACUACGUGCCAGCAGCCGCGGUAAUACGUAGGGGGCAAGCGUUAUCCGGAUUUACUGGGUGUAAAGGGAGCGUAGACGGCAGGGCAAGUCAGAUGUGAAAACUCAGGGCUCAACCCUGAGCCUGCAUUUGAAACUGUGUUUCUUGAGUGCUGGAGAGGCA
rnacentral:rRNA from 1 species